AACAUGACUCUCGGCAACGGAUAUCUCGGCUCCCGCAUCGAUGAAGAACGUAGCGAAAUGCGAUACCUGGUGUGAAUUGCAGAAUCCCGUGAACCAUCGAGUCUUUGAACGCAAGUUGCGCCCGAGGCCAUUCGGUCGAGGGCACGCCUGCCUGGGCGUCACGC
rnacentral:rRNA from 1 species